rnacentral:lncRNA from 1 species
GCAGUAGUAUUUAGUACAUAAUGUCCACAUUGGCAAACAUAGCAGUAGGUGAAAAAUUGCAUUUGCUGGGAAGUUGUGCGCGGUGUGCUGCCGUGUUAAACGACGGGCAGGGCAUGGUGAUGCCCCUGGACAGCACAUCACCCCAACAACUCAACAUCCCCAGCUGCAAGAAGGCCCGAUAGCUGCAUGAGCAGUAGACAACGCUAACGGAAAGGAAACGCUAUCAUUAGAGUCAUUUGUCUCGUACGUGUCUAGCCUCCAUUAUUAACGCAGGCCCGGUACGAGCCCUCAUUGCUGCCCUCAUUACUCCCGCUGGGGCCCCUAUUAGCCCUAUCAGCCGGGGUAAUGCAGGCAGCAGGGGGCAGGGGGCAGGGGGCAGGACCCCGGCGGCCUAAGGCACGAAUAUCCGGGGGGUGGUUAUGGGUGCACCGAGGGGGUGCGGCAAAUCAGACCGAUAACUGGUGACAAUUAUACGUCGUAAUCGUGCUAUUGACUCACCGAUGAACGUCGUACUGGCUAAUUAAUUGGCUAGCACCACACAUCACACGGUGCAGGUGGUGCAGAUAUAUAAAUUCGAUGCGAGAGGCCUCCUAUUCCUAUUCCACCCGACCCCGAACAACUACCAAGUGACAAGGUACGAUACCUGCCUCCACAAGGCCCCUCCGCACCGCCGUAUGACCCACCCGAGCCAGGCCGGACCAGGUUUUUAUGAAGUAAUAUAUUACUAAAAAGGAAUAAACAAGCAUUGAAAGCAUGGGAACGAGUAAAGUUAACGACUUAACAACUAAGUCAGGCGGCUGGCAGAGGUUAAGGCCUGGCUUCUGCUCCCGUCGCGUCCCAGCGCGUCCGGGUUCAAAUCCGCCUGCCAACCUCUCGGGGUGUUCGAGAGGUGAUGAAAUGGGAGGUGGCCCCCCAUCUUGUGGACGGUGUAGGACGAGAUAAAAUCAACUCGCGAGCUGACCAGGAACUAAGUUGACGCGCCGUUGAUCCGCUAGAUUUGGUUGGAUGCUGGUGGUGAGUUGCCGAACCCAACGAAUACAUUCUGAAGUCGGAUGGGGUGACGGAUUAGGGUGCCCCUCUAGCAGGGGAGAGCAGGGAACUGCCUCGGGAAGGAGGCCACUGGUGAAGCUUAACCACCCUGUAACAACAUCAACAACAUCAACUAACAAGAAAACCUAACAGGCAUUUUGGCCUUUGGAAAAAAGGAAUAAAUUGAGGCCGACCCGUACAUUUUCAUUCCUUCAGCCCAAAACGUCCAUUGCUGCCAGAUUGCUCCGUAGUUUGCAGAACUUUGUAUUUUCAAUCAUUGAAAUAUAUACGAGGGGCCGUAAGAAGGUCAAGACCGUGAGACAACGCGGCAUAGCCAAACACGCACGCACAAGUCAAUGACCGGACACACGAACGAAAAAACGCGCCAAACUCAGUGCAUGACUCUUGGUUUUUGUACAUAUCGGGGGGGGGGCGGGCGGGGGGGGCCGGAGCCCACCCCAGCGCCUCACAAUUAAGGAAUAAAUUAAGACAACCUGUUGUUAGUUAGGUUGGAAUAAUUGAGACCCGUCCUAAACGAAAAAAAGCCUGGGCCGGACCCCACCCGACCGACCCGUCCCUUGGGGCGGAACGCGAAAGAAUACGGGUCGAGCCGGUCGAGUCAAGCCGGUGUUGAGCCGAGCACUUCGGUUUAAGGUAAGCCGACGGAUACGUUUCUGUGUGCGACGUCUAAGUGUGAACGGCAUUCCGACUCCAGCAUUUUUACUUUAAAUAAGAUACAUCUGACAUGCAAGCCAAAAAUAACAUGUGAUGCGCGACGCAAAAUAAAGGAGACGAACGACCCUGAUGAGGUAAGAGCGAGUUAUUUAAACCCCGGAUCUAUCUGGCCUGGUCACCCAACGCACGGAGCCCCGGUGCAGAGUCCGCAUCCAAGCAUACCGGGUUCAAAUCCGCCUGCCAGCUCCUCGGGUGUUUGAGGAGUGUUGAAAUAGGAGGUGGCCCCCCAUCUUUUGGCGAUCAAUGCGGAUGUGACCGCCUUGAGCCGCACAAACAGCUCAAUGUGCCUCGCAAACUCCAGUCCCUCGGCAAAACGGAAGGGGACAAUGACACCUGGGUCGGCCGCGACUCGCCGUGUCACAGCAACUCGCAGUGCGGCAGCAUCGGCUGAACACUUCAAUUGGUGAUUUCUGUUAGGGGCCUGACACACGGCACACGGCCGUUCAGCUGAGGAGGAGAAACUGCAGACAACGGACCAGAUGGAGUCAAUUUCGCCAUAGUAUGCCGGAAGCUGGUUUUCCUGGAAGAAUGUAGCCGCCUGUGGCGCCAUGUCAGGAUUCCCAUGUGGGUCAACAUUUGUCAGGUGGACCAGAUAUUGGGAGGUGCGUGACGAGCUAUCAGACCCUAUUAGUACCAUAUUAAGUGGAACAAUCGACAUACAGAAUUCCCUCAACACACUAUGCAGCCGGCUGGCAGAGGUUAAGGCCUGAUUUCUGCUCCCGGAGUGUCCGGAUUCAAAUCCGUCUGCUGGCUCCUCGGGUGUUUGAGAAGUGUUGAAAUGGGAGGUGGCCCCCCAUCUUAUGGACGGUGUAGGACGUGCUAAUAUCAACUUGCGAGCUGACCAGGAACUAAGUUGAGGCGCCGUUGAUCCGCUAGAUUUGGUUGGAUGCUGGUGGUGAGUUGCCGAACCCAACGAAUACAUUCUGAAGUUGGAUGGGGUGACAGGAUUAGGGUGCCCCUCUCGCAGAGGAGAGCAGGGAACUGCCUCGAGAAAGGGGGCCGCUG